CACGUAGGGUGCAAGCGUUGUCCGGAAUCAUUGGGCGUAAAGAGCUCGUAGGCGGCUUAGUAAGUCGGGUGUGAAAACCCCAGGCUCAACCUGGAGACGCCAUUUGAUACUGCUAUGGCUUGAGUUCGGUAGGGGACCAUGGAAUUCCUGGUGUAGCGGUGAAAUGCGCAGAUAUCAGGAGGAACACCGAUGGCGAAGGCAGUGGUCUGGGCCGAUACUGACGCUGAGGAGCGAAAGCGUGGGGAGCGAACAGG
rnacentral:rRNA from 1 species